GAUGAACGCUGGCGGCGUGCCUAAUACAUGCAAGUCGAGCGAAUGGAUUAAGAGCUUGCUCUUAUGAAGUUAGCGGCGGACGGGUGAGUAACACGUGGGUAACCUGCCCAUAAGACUGGGAUAACUCCGGGAAACCGGGGCUAAUACCGGAUAACCUUUUGAACCGCAUGGUUCGAAAUUGAAAGGCGGCUUCGGCUGUCACUUAUGGAUGGACCCGCGUCGCAUUAGCUAGUUGGUGAGGUAACGGCUCACCAAGGCAACGAUGCGUAGCCGACCUGAGAGGGUGAUCGGCCACACUGGGACUGAGACACGGCCCAGACUCCUACGGGAGGCAGCAGUAGGGAAUCUUCCGCAAUGGACGAAAGUCUGACGGAGCAACGCCGCGUGAGUGAUGAAGGCUUUCGGGUCGUAAAACUCUGUUGUUAGGGAAGAACAAGUGCUAGUUGAAUAAGCUGGCACCUUGACGGUACCUAACCAGAAAGCCACGGCUAACUACGUGCCAGCCGCCGCAGUAA
rnacentral:rRNA from 1 species